CCUUAACGGUAAUUACUAAUUUCGUUAAUACGUCAAUAUACAAUUUCAAUUAUCAUUAACUAAUACCUCAUUAGUGUUAAUUUAAUGAGCUUCUCUAAGUACCACAAUCAUAACUAAUAUCCAUAGUGAAUAGUUUUAGAUGCGAUUUUCAAAUUGUGCUAGGGGAGUGUACAAAAAUUGUGCUGACAAUAUUCAAGUGACAAUUUUUUAAAUGAAAAAUGUAUUUAAAAUUAUUAUUGUAUUUUAUAGACAUGGUAUCUAUAUUCUUAUUAUAUUUUUAUAUUUAUUAUUAUUAUAUUAUAAAUAUUUGUAUUUAUAAUAAAUUUACUAUUGUAAUCUUAUGGAAAAAAAAAACAAUAAAGGGUAUCUAUUUAUCUUAAUAAAGAAUAAACAUUGA